rnacentral:lncRNA from 1 species
AUCCCUUUUAUUUUGUUUUCCUUUACUUCAUUUUAUUUUCAUUUAUUCAUCUUAUUUUUAUUUCAUUCCAUCUUCUAGACUUAUUUUAUUUUAAUUCAUCUCUCUCAUUUUUAUUUCACCUCAUUUUCCAUCAUCCUUAUUUCAUCAUCACUUAUUUUCACUUUCGUUCUUUUUUGGAAGACCUAGCAAGAGCCAGGAUAGUCUUCAUCUCUCCUAUCUCUCUUCCUUGCUUGUUUGACUAGAGGGCAGGCUGAGUCUUGUAAUCGCGCUGGUCUCGUCAUCGAGCAAUAUUGUCGCCAUGCCUGUCUGAGUUACCGUACCCGUCUUGCUGCCACGUCAGACUAGUCGUUGCACCAGACUAGUCGUCAUGCCAGUCCUGUCAUCGAGCAGUAUUGCCGUUAUGCCGGUCUGAGUUGCCAUGUUCGUCUUGCUGCCACGUCAGACUAGCCAUUGUGCCAGGCUGGUUGAUGUUGAUUCUGUCAUCGAGUAGUAAAUCCGCUGCGCCGGUCUGAGUUGUCAUACGUGUCUUGCUACCAUGUCAAAUUAGUCAUCGUACUAGUCUAGCCACUGUGCCAGCCUAGCCGCCCGGUCAAACUUCUUCUCUCACCUUCAUUUCUCUUAUCUCUUUGCUUCUCUCACCCUUUACUACAUAUAUACCGAGAGUCCCUUGUCAAGAAGACACCGUGAGGCUGUCGAAGUGAUGUGGAUUCGCAUGUAUCAUUUUUCCAUUUCUUCCUUAGUACACAUACAUGUGUGUGCUCGCCCUAUAACAACGUAGGGACCUAUGUCCCACUUGUCUGUACUUUUAAUAUGUGUGUGUGUGUUUCCAGAAAAGGAGAAACAUGUCAAGGGAGGCGAUUCCAGACCGGCCACAGGCCAGGGGGGAUUCCAACAUGAUCUAAGAGGGCGCCCAUACGAGCCAAGCCCGAGCAUGUCAUGGACUCAUGUGAGGUAAGUCCUGUCUCAUGACCUUAAUUCCUCUCUCACCGGUUGGUACUCAUGCCCACGUCUUCUUUACGUGGUUCCCAAGAGAGUGAUCUCAGGUCCGGGGUCCAUCUCGAACAUGGAACCACGCCACCAGGUCAACCAGACCCGGAGGGUGAGAUCGAGGCACCUAACUAGAAAUGACUUACAAAAAGAAACAUUUUUAGCAAAAGUGAUUUUUGGAAACCAAAUAACUAACCCAUUUUUUUUUUGUUUUUUUCCCAUAGGUGAAUUUUUUUUUUCUUUUUUUUUUUCAUUUAAGGCAAAGAGGGUUUUUUUUCCUAUUUUCAUUUUUUUUUUUUUGAAGAUGCCAAAGACAUAAAAAAAAGUGAUUUUCCUGAAUUUUUUAAACUAAGAAAAGAAGGAAGAUAGAAUAAAUAAAAGCCAAACAAAUUUGUUUUUUUUUUUAAAUUGUCUCAACAUUUUUUUUUUUUAAUUCAAGUGCUAAAUUACAAGAGAAGAAAUUCAUUUGUUU